CAGCCGCCGCGGUAAUACGUAGGGUGCGAGCGUUAAUCGGAAUUACUGGGCGUAAAGCGUGCGCAGGCGGUUUUGUAAGACAGGCGUGAAAUCCCCGGGCUCAACCUGGGAACGGCGCUUGUGACUGCAAAGCUAGAGUGCGGCAGAGGGGGAUGGAAUUCCGCGUGUAGCAGUGAAAUGCGUAGAUAUGCGGAGGAACACCGAUGGCGAAGGCAAUCCCCUGGGCCUGCACUGACGCUCAUGCACGAAAGCGUGGGGAGCAAACAGGAUUAGAUACCCCAGUAGUCCCUGUCUCUUAUAC
rnacentral:rRNA from 1 species